rnacentral:rRNA from 1 species
GUGCCAGCCGCCGCGGUAAUACGUAGGGUCCGAGCGUUAUCCGGAAUUACUGGGCGUAAAGAGUUCGUAGGCGGAUUUUUAAGUCAGGUGUUAAAUAUGCAGGCUCAACUUGCAUGCUGCAUCUGAUACUGGGAGUCUUGAGAGUGGAAGAGGUAAGCGGAAUUUCCGGUGGAGCGGUAAAAUGCGUAGAUAUCGGAAAGAACACCAAUGGCGAAGGCAGCUUACUGGGCCAUUUCUGACGCUGAGGAACGAAAGCGUGGGGAGCGAUCGGGAUUAGAAACCCCUGUAGUCC